rnacentral:rRNA from 1 species
GUGAUUAGCAGGCGGUGAGGAAACCUUCGGGGCUGAGGGAGGGGGUGUGGCCCAUCAGCUAGUUGGUAGGGUAACGGNCUACCAAGGCAAAGACGGGUAGGGGGCCUGAGAGGGUGACCCCCCACACGGGCACUGAGACACGGGCCCGACUUCUACGGAAGGCAGCAGUGAGGGAUAUUGCCCAAUGGACGGAAGUCUGAGGCAGCAACGCCGCGUGCGGGAAUGAAGGCCUUCGGGUUGUAAACCGCUUUUCUGCGCGAAGAGGAAGGACGGUAGCGCAGGAAGAAGUCUCGGAUAACUACGUGCCAGCAGCACGCGGGUAAAACCGUAGGAGGCCGAGCGUUAUCCGGAUUUACUGGGUGUAAAGCGCGUGCAAGGCGGUCAAUGUAAGUGGUGCGUUGAAAGCGCCCCGGCUCAACCGGGGCGAGGCCGUGCCAAAAUUGGCGUGACUGGAGGGCAGGUUAAAGGCGCGUGGAAUCCCGGGUUGUAGUGGUGAAAUGCGUAGAUAUCCGGAGGAACACCAGUGGGCGAAGCCGGCGCGCUGGGCCUGACCUGACGCUAAGACGCGAAAGCAUGGGGAGCGAACGGGAUUAGAAACCCCGGUAGUCCAUGCUGUAAACGCUGCAGACUAGGUGUUGCGUGCGACGAGUAUGCAGUGCCGAAGCCAACGUGAUAAGUCUGCCACCUGGGGACUACGGCCGCAAGGUUAAAACUCAAAGGAAUUGACGGGGGCCCGCACAAGCAGCGGAGCGUGUGGUUUAAUUCGAGGCUACACGAAGAACCUUACCUGGGCUUGACAUGGCGGUGGUAGGGAACCGAAAGGGGACCGACCUUCGGGAGCCGUCACAGGUGCUGCAUGGCUGUCGUCAGCUCGUGUCGUGAGAUGUUCGGUUAAGUCCGGUAACGAGCGCAACCCUCGCCGCUAGUUACAAGUGUCUAGCGGGACUGCCCGUUGAACGCGGGAGGAAGGUGGGGAUGACGUCAAGUCAGCAUGGCCUUUAUGUCCAGGGCUACACACACGCUACAAUGGCCGGUACAAUGGGUCGCCAACCCGCGAGGGGGAGCCAAUCCAUCAAAGCCGGUCUCAGUUCGGAUUGCAGGCUGCAACCCGCCUGCAUGAAGUCGGAGUUGCUAGUAACCGCAGGUCAGCUAUACUGCGCUGAAUACGUUCCCGGGCCUUGUACGCACCGCCCGUCACGUCAUGGGAGCUGGUCA